GAACUUGUUCCUAAUGGGAGUGUAGAAUCACACUUACAUGGAAUUGAUAAAGAAGCUUCUCCUCUUGACUGGUAUGCAAGAAUGAAGAUUGCAUUAGGUGCAGCUCGAGGAUUGGCCUAUCUGCAUGAGGACUCGAGCCCUCGUGUAAUACACAGGGACUUCAAGUCUAGUAACAUCUUGCUGGAACAUGAUUUUACACCAAAAGUUUCAGACUUUGGCUUGGCUAGAACAGCACUGGAGGAGGGAAACAGACACAUCUCCACUCAUGUUAUGGGCACUUUUGGCUACCUAGCUCCAGAAUAUGCAAUGACUGGCCAUC
rnacentral:misc_RNA from 1 species